rnacentral:rRNA from 1 species
AUACAUGCAAGUCGAGCGGACGAUUCAAAAGCUUGCUUUUGAAUCGUUAGCGGCGGACGGGUGAGUAACACGUGGGCAACCUGCCCUGUAGACGGGGAUAACACCGAGAAAUCGGUGCUAAUACCGGAUAACACGAAAUGUCGCAUGACGUUUCGUUGAAAGACGGCGCAAGCUGUCGCUACAGGAUGGGCCCGCGGCGCAUUAGCUAGUUGGUGAGGUAACGGCUCACCAAGGCGACGAUGCGUAGCCGACCUGAGAGGGUGAUCGGCCACACUGGGACUGAGACACGGCCCAGACUCCUACGGGAGGCAGCAGUAGGGAAUCUUCCGCAAUGGACGAAAGUCUGACGGAGCAACGCCGCGUGAGCGAAGAAGGCCUUCGGGUCGUAAAGCUCUGUUGUUAGGGAAGAACAAGUAAUGCAGUAACUGGCGUUACCGUGACGGUACCUAACGAGAAAGCCACGGCUAACUACGUGCCAGCAGCCGCGGUAAUACGUAGGUGGCAAGCGUUGUCCGGAAUUAUUGGGCGUAAAGCGCGCGCAGGCGGUUCCUUAAGUCUGAUGUGAAAGCCCACGGCUCAACCGUGGAGGGUCAUUGGAAACUGGGGGACUUGAGUAUAGUAGGGGUAGAG